rnacentral:lncRNA from 7 species
CUCAUUUUGCUGUUGGACCGUCCCACAGAGUGCUGCGUUCCCACCGUUUCUGCUCAGGGGAAGUGCUCUGUCAGCUCAGACCGUGAGCAGCUCUCCAGGGAGCACACAGCAGGGCUCAGGGCCUGUUUUGACUUAACAGGCACCGGGAGAGGAUAAUCCUGUUUAUUCGGUCAUCCAAAGCACUGAUGAUCUGAGAUAAUCGGUGGCUGAGAGCAGUGAGGAGGGACGCGUGAGGUGCUCCGUGCCUGGAUGGAUGAGUCAGAUGCUCAGCACUGGGGAACGGACUGAGCUCACCCCUGCAGCCCCAACAGGGCGUGGAGAGCCCCAGCCAACCUCACAAAGAAGACAGAAAGUGGAGAAGCCAACCAGGUGUUCGGGGCCCUGCAGGUGGGAUAUUCAUGUAUGGCUGUUUGAUCAGCCCUGAAGGGCAGAGUUCUUGCUCUCCAACCUUCCUUCCUUUGCACCCUACGAGUCAGUGCUGAACACUGUGCUCCUCCUGAUGGUGCUUCAGGGCUCCUCGUGCAGAGCUCCAUGCUGCAGCACAGCCCUGAAGACAAGGGCACAUCUCUGCUGAAGGCACCGCUGCUGCACUCCGACCACCAGACUGAAGUAGUGGCUGCACUCCUCCGAAGGCACCACAUGUGUUGGUUGCAGGAAAUAUCGAGAGUGUGAUAUCAGUGGAGCUGGAUCCUUUGCUGAGGACUCUCCUGGUACCUCCACAGCCAUUCCUGGUGGGAAGCCAGAGCCAACCCGUGCCCCACUUUUUGGUGUGCGUGCAGCACCCACCUGCUUUCUGCUGCCAUGAAUGCAAUGUUUGGAUACCACUGGAGAGGCGCUCGGGCUCUGGUAGCAUUUGUUUCCACCCACCUUCUCCAGUUUGCUCCAUGAAAGCCAUCGGCUGCCUCGCACAGACCCGGAGCUCCUUCUGCAUGGAGCUGUGGGACAGUGAUGGGAGGAGGAGGAGGAGGAGCAGGAGCAGGAGCUGGAGCUGGAGCGAGGCUGCUCUCCAGGAGCCUCAGGAGUCGCUUGGGGCUGAAGAGCGAGGAGAAGCUCGUUUGUUAUGCAAAUAUCUGCUUCGGCCUGGCCUGGCAUAGGCAGUGGAAAGCUCUUGAAUUAUUUUAAGCAGAGGACAAAAGUUCUUUCCCUCCCCCUAUCAUCUUGGAUCCUUAUU